rnacentral:rRNA from 1 species
CGAAAGCCUGACGGAGCAAUACCGCGUGAGGGAUGACGGCCUAUGGGUUGUAAACCUCUUUUCUCUGGGAAGAAGACCUGACGGUACCAGAGGAAUCAGCAUCGGCUAACUCCGUGCCAGCAGCCGCGGUAAGACGGAGGAUGCAAGCGUUAUCCGGAAUUAUUGGGCGUAAAGCGUCCGCAGGCGGCCAAUUAAGUCUGCUGUCAAAGCCUAGGGCUCAACCCUAGAUCGGCAGUGGAAACUGGUUGGCUAGAGUACGGUAGGGGUAGAGGGAAUUCCCAGUGUAGCGGUGAAAUGCGUAGAUAUUGGGAAGAACACCAGUGACGAAGGCGCUCUACUGGGCCGAAACUGACGCUGAGGGACGAAAGCUAGGGGAGCG